AGUGAACGCUGGCGGUAGGCCUAACACAUGCCAGUCGAACGGCAGCACAGUAAGAGCUUGCUCUUACGGGUGGCGAGUGGCGGACGGGUGAGGAAUACAUCGGAAUCUACUUUUUCGUGGGGGAUAACGUAGGGAAACUUACGCUAAUACCGCAUACGACCUACGGGUGAAAGCAGGGGAUCUUCGGACCUUGCGCGAUUGAAUGAGCCGAUGUCGGAUUAGCUAGUUGGCGGGGUAAAGGCCCACCAAGGCGACGAUCCGUAGCUGGUCUGAGAGGAUGACCGGCCACACUGGAACUGAGACACGGUCCAGACUCCUACGGGAGGCAGCAGUGGGGAAUAUUGGACAAUGGGCGCAAGCCUGAUCCAGCCAUACCGCGUGGGUGAAGAAGGCCUUCGGGUUGUAAAGCCCUUUUGUUGGGAAAGAAAAGCAGCAGGUUAAUACCCCGCUGUUCUGACGGUACCCAAAGAAUAAGCACCGGCUAACUUCGUG
rnacentral:rRNA from 1 species